GUGCUGGCUUCAGCAGCACAUAUACUAAAAUUGGAAUGGUACAGAGAUUAGCAUGGCCCUUGGGCAAGGAGGACACUCAAAUUCGUGAAAAGUUGCAUAAAAAA
ensembl:snRNA U6 U6 spliceosomal RNA